AUGUGAACACUUAGCUUCCCCAGCUCAAUCCACUCUGGGAGCACAUCCACACCUGGCUACUGCCGGAAACUGGAGGAAACUGGAGAUGCUACGUGAUUCUUACGCUUCUUGAGCCUGAAAGAUGAGUAAACCGAGGCAUGCAGCGCUUAAGUGCCUCUUCGGAAGACUGCACAGACUGCACGAUGGGACCUUCUUACCACCUGCAGGUUCCCAGGACUCUCUGGCGGGAGCGGGGGCGGAGGCGAGAGGGGGUCGCGCCCCAGGGCAGGAGAGAACUACAUCUCCCAGGAUGCCAUGCGAGGGGCGUGUAGGGGUGGAGCCGCCGCGAGCCCACGGCAGUCAUUUCUUGGUAUUUAAAAAAAGUAGCAAAAGAAAAGAAAGAAUCAAAGCCUCAAGCGUCACGUCUAGGAAUAGCGUCGGAGCCAGGCCAAGUCAUUAUAGACGAUGAGUAAUCCGGUUAAGUCAUUUCUCUAAACGCCAUUCCUUCUGCAGGAGCAAAGAGCUGAUGCUGGGAAAGAGUGAGGGCAGAAGGAGAAGAGGGCGACAGAGGAUGAGAUGGUUGGAUGGCAUCACCGAUUCAAUGGACAUGAGCUUGGGCAAACUCCAGGAGAUGGUCCAACAACAUGAGCUGGGUCCUGGUAGUGAGCUGGACACUCAUCUCUCCCUCGGUGACCCUCACGUGGACCCUUGGCAGAUAAGGUCACUGGGGCCCGGAACCUUCCCACUGGCUUCCCGCGCCAGUCCCCAAAGCGGUAGAGAGUAACUCAAGCUUACAGAUGAACGCUUGAGGCAGCCUCUGAGCAAUUUACACACGUUCACACUUGCAAUGAAUCAGGCGCUUUUGAAAUUCCCUUUUCACCAAAGGGCAGAGAGAAACCGAGAGGUUCUCAACUUCCUAAGAAGCUGCACAAGGCUCAGCCAGUCCACUAAAACAGGAAGCUCCAAGGCUCUGGAAUCAGGCCGACUGCUCCCCAGUCCUGACACCCUCACUUGCAGAUGACCUUGGAUGAAUGACUCACUAUCUCUAGUCUUCGAUUUUCCCACAUGUAAAACGGGAUUAGCAAUACCUACCUUGUGAGAUUACUGUGACGGUUAGAAAUAACGUAGACCUGUAACAAAUGGUCAUUCUGUUGUGUUGGUGUUGUGUGAAAACAGCCUCCGACCCAGCAGAUUCUGCGUGCGUCUGAGCCUGUAGAAGUAAAUGUUAAAUAACCUGCUCCCCCAAACCCAACCAUCUCUUAGCACAGCGGUCACCUUCCCUGCAUCAGGGGGCCAAGCCCUUGGCACACCCCUGGCUCCUCUGCACAGUCCUGCCUGUGUGCACCCCAAGCCCUGGCCUUAGCGACCUGAGCUGGACCCUGAGACCCCCCACCUGACCAGGUUUUCUAGGUUUACAGGUAGUAGCUUCAAGGUCCUGAGCUCCCCAGUUGGGGUCUUCACAUUUGGCCGGGAUGUUGGGAGGAAUUAUGGUCGAGGUGAAUGAUGUAGCUCUAACCUGAGCGGAUCCAUUAACCCCUUCCAUGCUGGAA